rnacentral:lncRNA from 1 species
GUGUAGUGCAUGUCUUCAAAGUGAAACAUGUGGUUGGUGUCAGUUAGACUUUACAUGUACUGGACAGAACUCAUCAUGUACUACUGGUGAAUGGUUCAAUACAAAAGAUGGUGGUAGAGCUAGUAGUUUCUGUCCCUUCUUAGAGCCUAAUUCUGUUACAUCUGAUGGUAGAUAUACUCAAGCAGCUAAUGUUGUUAAGGAUUUAACAUUAUCAACUAGUAAUACUGGGUCUUCACCUGGUCUCACUUAUGAGUGUGUAUAUGGUACUGAUACUAGAACUGCUACUGUUAGCAGUGACAAUAGAGUGACAUGUAUUAAUAUU